rnacentral:rRNA from 1 species
CGAGUGCCUCAAGCGUUAUCCGGAAUCAUUGGGCGUAAAGGGUGUGUAGGUGGCCGCAUUAGUCUUUUGUUAAAUUUCCAGGCACAACCUGGAACAUGCGAAGGAAACGGUGCGACUAGAGGAUGCAAGGGGUCUGCGGAACUCAUAGUGUAGCGGUGAAAUGCGUUGAUAUUAUGGGGAACACCAAAAGCGAAGGCAGCAGACUAGGGCACUCCUGACACUGAGACACGAAAGCGUGGGUAGCGAAUGGGAUUAGAUACCCCAGUAGUCCACGCCCUAAACGAUCUUUUCUAGCGAUUUGGAGUAUCGACCCUCUGAGUGGCGUAGCUAACGCGUUAAGAAAAGCGCCUGGGUAGUACGACCGCAAGGUUA